AUGCUGGAGGUAUCAGAAGUGCGAAUGCUGACGUGAGUAACGACAAAACGGGUGAAAAACCCGUUCGCCGAAAGACCAAGGGUUCCAGUCCAACGUUAAUCGGGGCUGGGUGAGUCGACCCCUAAGGCGAGGCCGAAAGGCGUAGUCGAUGGGAAAAUGGUUAAUAUUCCAUUACUUCUGUGUAAUGCGAUGAGAGGACGGAGAAGGCUAAAUCAGCCUGGCGUUGGUUGUCCAGGUGAAAGGAUGUAGGCAUGUAUCUUAGGCAAAUCCGGGGUACUCUAUGCUGAGAUCUGAUAGCAAGCUGUACUUGUACAGCGAAGUGGUUGAUGCCAUGCUUCCAGGAAAAGUCUCUAAGCUUCAGUUACACAGGAAUCGUACCCGAAACCGACACAGGUGGUCAGGUCGAGUAGACCAAGGCGCUUGAGAGAACUCUGCUGAAGGAACUAGGCAAAAUGGUACCGUAACUUCGGGAGAAGGUACGCUGUUGUUGGUGAUGGAACUCGCUUCCUGAGCUGACGACAGCCGCAGAAACCAGGCCGCUGCAACUGUUUAUUAAAAACAUAGCACUCUGCAAACACGAAAGUGGACGUAUAGGGUGUGAUGCCUGCCCGGUGCUGGAAGGUUAAUUGAUGGGGUUAGCGUAAGCGAAGCUCUUGAUCGAAGCCCCAGUAAACGGCGGCCGUAACUAUAACGGUCCUAAGGUAGCGAAAUUCCUUGUCGGGUAAGUUCCGACCUGCACGAAUGGCAUAAUGAUGGCGGCGCUGUCUCCAGCAGAGGCUCAGUGAAAUCGAAAUCGCUGUGAAGAUGCAGUGUACCCGCGGCUAGACGGAAAGACCCCGUGAACCUUUACUGCAGCUUGACACUGAACUUUGACCUUACUUGUGUAGGAUAGGUGGGAGGCUUUGAAGCUGGAACGCUAGUUCCAGUGGAGCCGUCCUUGAAAUACCANNNNNNNNNNNNNNNNNNNNNNCCCUGGUAAUGUUGAGGUUCUAACUCUGUCCCGUGAUCCGGGACGAGGACCGUGUCUGGUGGGUAGUUUGACUGGGGCGGUCUCCUCCUAAAGAGUAACGGAGGAGUACGAAGGUGCGCUCAGCGUGGUCGGAAAUCACGCGUAGAGUAUAAAGGCAAAAGCGCGCUUAACUGCGAGACCCACAAGUCGAGCAGGUACGAAAGUAGGUCUUAGUGAUCCGGUGGUUCUGUAUGGAAGGGCCAUCGCUCAACGGAUAAAAGGUACUCUGGGNNNNNNNNNNNNNNNNGAUAACAGGCUGAUACCGCCCAAGAGUUCAUAUCGACGGCGGUGUUUGGCACCUCGAUGUCGGCUCAUCUCAUCCUGGGGCUGAAGCAGGUCCCAAGGGUAUGGCUGUUCGCCAUUUAAAGAGGUACGCGAGCUGGGUUUAGAACGUCGUGAGACAGUUCGGUCCCUAUCUACCGUGGGCGCUGGAAAUUUGAGAGGAUCUGCUCCUAGUACGAGAGGACCAGAGUGGACGAACCUCUGGUGUACCGGUUGUGACGCCAGUCGCAUCGCCGGGUAGCUAUGUUCGGAAGGGAUAACCGCUGAAAGCAUCUAAGCGGGAAGCCUACCUCAAGAUAAGAUUUCCCUAGGACUUUAUGUCCUCUAAAGAGCCGUUCGAGACUAGGACGUUGAUAGGUUGGAUGUGGAAGCAUAGUGAUAUGUGAAGCUGACCAAUACUAAUUGCUCGUGAGGCUUGACUAUACAACACCCAAGCAGUUG
rnacentral:rRNA from 1 species